rnacentral:rRNA from 1 species
AUGGCGGCGGCGAUGCGAUUUGCGGCCAGGAGGCUCACCGGAGGCCAGCGAGCCAAGUCCGUUUACAAAGCCGUCGUCUCGCCGCUGGUUGAGGGUGAGCGUCGCCGGCUGAUGCCAAGGCUUAUCAACGGCGACCGACCUGCGUAUUUUCCUCAAAGAUCUAUGUCCUCGGGCGGCGACGGCGGCAACACCGCUUUGAAGGAACCCUGUGCAAAGCCUGCGCUAGACCUCGACGCCAAGAGAGCAUGGGGCCAUAGUCAGAUAGUUGAAAUCGAGACCAAGAAGCACGACCUCUUCUACCAGCUCGCUGAGCUUGACAGCAGAUUCCCCUCGAGUAACAAGUACUUCCGAGAGAACAGGGAGCUUAUCCACCAUCUCUUCGGACACAUUGAGCCCAAUCCCAGUGACACCCUAUGGCGCUUCUGUCGUGCAAGAGAAAGAUUGAAUAAAUGCCUGGUAUAUGGACUGCCUACAAUGCUUGCCACUUGGAUGUAUCUGGAUUCAGAUGGAUGGAAAGAGAUGUUUGCUGAUAUCCUUGGAGUUAGUAGCUAA